rnacentral:rRNA from 1 species
CCCUUAGAUGUCCGGGGCCGCACGCGCGCUACACUGAAGGAAUCAGCGUGGCUUUCUCCCUGACCCGAAAGGGUUGGGAAACCCGUUGAAUCUCCUUCGUGAUAGGGAUUGGGGCUUGAAAUUGUUCCCCAUGAACGAGGAAUUCCCAGUAAGCGCGAGUCAUAAGCUCGCGUUGAUUACGUCCCUGCCCUUUGUACACACCGCCCGUCGCUACUACCGAUUGAAUGUUCCGGUGAGCUCUUCGGACUGCGCGGUCUGCAGUUUCUGCGUUCCGUGCGGAAAGUUGCGCAAACCUUAACAUUUAGAGGAAGGAGAAGUCGUAACA